CCCUUAGAUGUCCUGGGCUGCACGCGCGCUACACUGAUGUGUCCAGUAAGCACCUAACCUCUUCCGAAAGGAACGGGUAACCUUUGCAAAGCACAUCGUGAUGGGGAUAGAUUAUUGCAAUUAUUAGUCUUGAACGAGGAAUUCCUAGUAAGCACAAGUCAUCAGCUUGUGUUGAUUACGUCCCUGCCCUUUGUACACACCGCCCGUCGCUCCUACCGAUUGAAUGUUCCGGUGAGCUCUUCGGACUGCGCGGUCUGCAGUUUCUGCGUUCCGUGCGGAAAGUUGCGCAAACCUUAACAUUUAGAGGAAGGAGAAGUCGUAACAA
rnacentral:rRNA from 1 species